rnacentral:ribozyme from 1 species
AAAUGGAAUAGCUUUGUAAAAGAGUUAGAUACGCCGCCACUAGGAGGCUACUAUAGGCUCUCCUUCUCAACUCCUUCUCAAUACGUCCACGACGUGCAGAACGGUAACUUGUCGCCUAGAUAUCCUAGUUUGGGCAGCAGCGGGUUUAACGGUACGCG